CGCAAUUGGUCUAUGGCAAUGAAAACAACAGCAUUCUUUGAAAACCCGUGUUUAGUUAACGUUGUUUAAAUGUUAGGGAUGGGCCAAAUACCAAAUACUCGAUACUAUCGAUACCAGGGUUUUGACGAAAAGUUUCGAUACUGGCAAGAUUUCUGCGCCUGCGAUAAUUUUCAUUUUGGUCAGCGGCAUUAUCAUGAAAAAACAUUUGGUUAUAGGUUAUAGAUUAUAGAUUCAUGUCUCGCUAUUUAUGAAUGCUAAUCCUCACCCUAACCGCCAACCCUAACUCAUAAACAGCGCAGAGGCGUAGCUGGGGCUGGGGGGGGGGGCGCCCCCCUCCCCCCCUGGCAACAUUUUGCCCCCCUCUGGCAAAAUUUUGGGGGCCCCUUGAUAAAAUGCAUUGUACUAGUAAGGGUACCUGCAAAGGUAGGGAUUGCUGCGGGAAUCAAGAGCAAAUAGAACUAAAAAUAGUACAAGUUACAUAAAGCAUGCAGUUAUUACUCGCAGCGAGCCGGCGACUUGUGAGCACUGUGGUCGGAGCUUAAGGAAUACGGAGUCGAUUCAUGCCAUGACUGAUGAGUGUCUGAGAAAAAGCAAUGCAUUUGUUGCCAAGACCAUGCACGCACGGCCGGUUCAAGAGCAAUACUAUGAUAUCGCAGAUUACAGAUAGGCG